rnacentral:rRNA from 1 species
GAUGAACGCUGGCGGCGUGCCUAAUACAUGCAAGUCGAGCGAACAGACGAUGAGCGUGCUCCUCUGACGUUAACGGCGUACGGAUGAGUAACACGUGCAUAACCUACCUAUUAGACUGGGAUAACAUCGGGAGACCGUAUCUAAUUACGGCUAAUAUAUUGAACCACAUCUAUCAAUAGUGAAAGAGAGCUUUGCUUUCACUUAGAGAUGUAGCCGCGCCGCAUUAGCUAGUGGGUAAGGUAACGGCUUAGCAAGGCAACGAUGCGUAGCAGACCUGAGAGGGUGAUCAGCCACCCUGGAACUGAGACACGGUCCAGACUCCUACGGGAGGCAGCAGUAGGGAAUCUUCCGCAAUGGGCGAAAGACUGACGGAGCAACGCCGCGUGAGUGAUGAAGGUAUUCGGAUCGUAAAACUCUGUUAUUCGGAAAGAACAAAUGUGUAAGUAACUAUGCACGUCUUGACGGUACCUAAUGAGAAAGCCACGGCUAACUACGUG